rfam:Capsicum annuum cultivar Zunla-1 chromosome 2, whole genome shotgun sequence
UUACAUACUUCGUUGGAGUCAAUGGGCGAUCAAGAAGACCCAUGGCCUAGGCUGGUUAACCUUUAUUGCGCUUUGGAUGGGGUGCCUGCUUAAGAUCAACCCAAAUGGUCGAGCCUACAUCAUAAUUUCUGGCAAUAUGGGCUGUCUUGUGUCUGCGCAGCCCCAAG